GUUUAGAGGGUUGACACUGUUAGUUCCUCAAACUCAGCUUUUUUUUUACCCUAGUAUCUAUUAAUGAACCAGGCCUUGUUUAUUUAGGGCUGUGGAUAAAACAGAGAUCCUGCCCUGGUAGAGGAGACAGACACUAAGUACAACAACAAACAUGAUUUAACAGAUGCAGAUAAAUGCUGUAAAAGAAAAGGGCAGAGUCCCAGCGUGAAAAGGUGUUGUCUGGGGUAGAUAAGGUCAGACCAGAGUCUCUCAUUAGAGGAUACUGGCAUGCGGUCUGACUGACUGAAGUAAGAAGCUCUGAGGUUGUCACAUGAAUAUUGGGAAAGUUGCCUCAGGCACCAAAAGCAAAGGCCCUGAGACAGCAACAUGCCUGAAAUGUUCCAGUAAGGAAUUCAGUGUGGUGAAUCCAGGCCAGAGAGGUCUGUAGCCCAGGAGAGAGAGAGAGAGAGAGAGAGAGAGAGAGAGAGAGAGAGAGAGAGGAGGAGCGCCAGCUUAGAGUACUGCUCUGGUGUAUUCAUUGCCAGGAAUCAGACCAGGACAUCACAAAUGCAAGCCUGGUGUUGUCUACUGAGCAACCUCCCUGGUCAGGAAGGAGGCUGGGGGUGUUAUGAAUUCCUCAAUUGUUAAUGGAAAGAAACACCGGUUGCACUGGAUGACUACAUAGCAACUUCAUUCUGAACAGCUACUUAUCAUCAGCCUGGGCUUUGAAUUCUUUCUUCACUAAGAUGCCCCACCCACUCUGCAAACGCUUCUACAAUGAGAUCCAGUGCUUCUUAGUUCUUUUAAUGGCAAUCCACCUUUCAUCAUUAAAACUAAAAAAGUUUAUUUUUAUUUCUUGUCCCCUUUUGCCAUCUUUACAUUUUCUUCUUAAUAUUUUUUGAAAUUAUCUUUAUUUGUGGUCCUGGAGGUGGUACAGUGGAUAAAGCAUUGAACUCUCAUCAAGUGUGAGGUCCUGCGUUCAAUCCCUGCAGCACAUGUACCAGAGUGAUGUCUGAUUCUCUCUCUCUCCGCCUAUCACUCUUAAUGAAUAAAUCAGUCAAUCUUUAAAAAUAUAUAUCUUUAUUUAUUUACUGCAUAGGGAGAGCCAGAAAUCGAGAGGGAAGGGGUACACCUGCAGCCCUACUUCACCACUCGCAAAGCUUUCCCCCUGAAGAUAGGAACUGGGGGCUUGAACUCUUAUCCCUGAGCACUGUAACAUGUAUGUUCAGCCACGUGCACCACCGCCUGGCCCCCCCUCCUUACACUCUCCACUAAUCCAAGCUGUCCUGACAUGCUACUAGUUUUUGUGUCUAACAUCUCUUUUGAUUUCAUUAAAUACUAUAUCAUCACCCAAAAUUAACAUAUGUUAUCAUUUUUACAUACAUAUUUUAAUUUUUUGAUGAAAUAAAUAUUGGAGAUAAACAAACAUUUUGAAUUCUAUUCUCUCCUUCAAAUCUCACCUCACAGAGCCCUUGUUCAGUGUGUGUUUGAAUUUUUUUUACUUAAGUGUACCCAUAAUUAAUGCAUGGUAUUGUCUUAUGGACCAUAUAUAUCUGUCCUGUGAUUUCCUUACUGAACAUUGUCUUUGAAAUAAAUCCAUGUUUACAUAUCUACAUUGCACAGUAUACAUGUGUAUAUAUAUAGUAAAUAUGUGUGUGACAAAUAGGUGCAUACUUUAAA